UGGGGGAUAUUGCACAAUGGGCGAAAGCCUGAUGCAGCGACGCCUCGUGGGGGAUGAAGGCCUUCGGGUUGUAAACUUCUUUUGCUCUGAACAAGGCGCACCCUGGGGUGUGUUGAGUGUAGGGGUUGAUUAGCGACGGCUAACUACGUGCCAGCAGCCGCGGUACUACGUAGGGCGCGAGCGUUGUCCGGAAUUAUUGGGCGUAAAGGGCUUGUAGUUGGCUGGUUGCGUCUGUCGUGAAAGCUCAUGGCUUAACUGUGGGUUUGCGGUGGGUACGGGCUGGCUUGAGUGCAGUAGGGGAGGCUGGAAUUCCUGGUGUAGCGGUGGAAUGCGCAGAUAUCAGGAGGAGUACCGGUGGCGAAGGAGGGUCUCUGGGCUGUUACUGACACUGAGGAGCGAAAGCAUGGGGAGCGAACAGG
rnacentral:rRNA from 1 species